GACUUCUGGUUUAAUGCACCUGGCCCGCAGGCCUGUGAGUGCCGGGCGCGUUUACCAUCCUUCCAGCAACGGCUACCCUUAACUGGGCGGCUGGAACUGGAUCUUUUACUUUGAAAAAAUUAGAGUGUUUAAGCAGAAUACAUUAGCAUGGAAUAAAAAUCUAGGACUUCGGUUCUAUUUUGUUGGUUUCGAGAACUGAAGUAAUGAUUGAUAGGGAUAGUUGGGGGUGCUAGUAUUGGCCGGUCACCAAGG
rnacentral:rRNA from 1 species